rnacentral:rRNA from 1 species
GACAGAGGGUGCAAACGUUGUUCGGAAUUACUGGGCGUAAAGGGCGCGUAGGCGGCCUUCUAAGUCGAACGUGAAAUCCCUGGGCUCAACCCAGGAACUGCGUCCGAUACUGGAAGGCUUGAAUCCGGGAGAGGGAUGCGGAAUUCCAGGUGUAGCGGUGAAAUGCGUAGAUAUCUGGAGGAACACCGGUGGCGAAGGCGGCAUCCUGGACCGGUAUUGACGCUGAGGCGCGAAAGCCAGGGGAGCAAACGGG